rnacentral:rRNA from 1 species
GACGAACGCUGACGGUGUGCUUUAGACAUGCAAGUCGAACGAGAAAGCCCUUCGGGGUGAGUACAGUGGCGAGCGGGUGAGUAACACGUGGGCAACCUGCCCCUCGCAGGGGGACGAACCGGAGGAAACUCCGGCUAAUACCCCGUAAGCUUGUUGGGUCGCAUGACCCUUCAAGGAAAGGUAGCUUCGGCCAUCCGGCGAGGGAUGGGCCCGCGGUACAUUAGCUAGUUGGUGGGGUAACGGCCCACCAAGGCGACGAUGUAUAGCUGGUCUGAGAGGAUGAUCAGCCACACUGGGACUGAGACA